rnacentral:rRNA from 1 species
CAGUAGCCGCGGGAAUACAGAGGGUGCGAGCGUUAAUCGGAUUUACUGGGCGUAAAGCGUGCGUAGGCGGCUUUUUAAGUCGGAUGUGAAAUCCCUGAGCUUAACUUAGGAAUUGCAUUCGAUACUGGGAAGCUAGAGUAUGGUAGAGGAUGGUAGAAUUCCAGGUGUAGCGGUGAAAUGCGUAGAGAUCUGGAGGAAUACCGAUGGCGAAGGCAGCCAUCUGGCCUAAUACUGACGCUGAGGUACGAAAGCAUGGGGAGCAAACAGGAUUAGAUACCCCAGUAGUCCCUGUCUCUUAUAC